rnacentral:rRNA from 1 species
UACGUAGGGGGCAAGCGUUGUCCGGAUUUAUUGGGCGUAAAGAGCGUGUAGGCGGCUAUACAGGUCCGCUGUGAAAACUCGAGGCUCAACCUCGAGACGUCGGCGGAAACCAUCUGGCUAGAGUCCGGAAGAGGAGAGUGGAAUUCCUGGUGUAGCGGUGAAAUGCGCAGAUAUCAGGAAGAACACCUAUGGCGAAGGCAGCUCUCUGGGACGGUACUGACGCUGAGACGCGAAAGCGUGGGGAGCGAACAGG